rnacentral:rRNA from 1 species
CCUACGGGAGGCAGCAGUGGGGAAUUUUGGACAAUGGGCGCAAGCCUGAUCCAGCAAUGCCGCGUGAGUGAAGAAGGCCUUCGGGUUGUAAAGCUCUUUUGUCAGGGAAGAAACGGUGGGGGCUAACAUCUCUUGCUAAUGACGGUACCUGAAGAAUAAGCACCGGCUAACUACGUGCCAGCAGCCGCGGUAAUACGUAGGGUGCAAGCGUUAAUCGGAAUUACUGGGCGUAAAGCGUGCGCAGGCGGUUUUGUAAGUUUGUCGUGAAAUCCCCGGGCUCAACCUGGGAAUGGCGAUGAAGACUGCAAGGCUAGAAUCUGGCAGAGGGGGUAGAAUUCCACGUGUAGCAGUGAAAUGCGUAGAGAUGUGGAGGAACACCGAUGGCGAAGGCAGCCCCCUGGGUCAAGAUUGACGCUCAUGCACGAAAGCGUGGGGAGCAAACAGGAUUAGAUACCCUGGUAGUCCACGCCCUAAACGAUGUCUACUAGUUGUCGGGUUUUAAUUAACUUGGUAACGCAGCUAACGCGUGAAGUAGACCGCCUGGGGAGUACGGUCGCAAGNUUAAAACUCAAAGGAAUUGACGG